AAUCUAGGCAUUGUGCCUUCAGCACUGACACUAUGAAGACGUAUAUUGUGAAAUUCGUGAAUAAAUUUUGAUGUUUUUAAUUUCUCCAAGUUAUUAAUAUUAUUUCAGUAGUAAUGUAAAGUAAAUUGUUAUAUGUACGUGAAUAACGAUUGGGAAAUGGAGUACCUGAAGAGCAUUACAAGAAUUUUUAAAAAAAUAUCAUCCAAAAUGACAGAUGAAAAUUACAACUAUUUUUCAUUAACACUCAGCUGUUUUGGCCAUAAGCAUUUGACUUGCAAAAGAUGACGACUUGACAUUUCGAACUUCAUAAAAAUGGAAGAAAGUGAUAUUUCUAGAAAUGAUCUGGAGAGAGGAUAGUCACGGGCUGUCACGAUAUUCAGGAAAGUUGGGUCAGUAAACCGGAGAAUACAGACAGUAUUCAUUUCCGAAUCGUUUUUCAUACUCAAUUUAAUAUAAAACAAAAAAAAAAAAAAAAAAAACAAAAAAAAAUGGUUAAGCGUUUCGAAUAGUAAAUAGAGAUAUAUAUUUUUCUAUAAAAACAACUAGAAAAAGAGGGAAAAAAAAAUUCAUCUCUUCUGCAACAUCUUCUGACAGUUUCUUUAUCUCUCCUUUAAGUAAACACUAUAAUCUAUACAUUUAUAAAAUUAAUCGGAUAAAAAUGUAUAAUGAUAUUUGCAACAACCGACCUCAAUACUUACAUCAUUUAUUUAUAUUUGCAUUAGUCGUCUGUAUAAAAUUAUUUCCGUGAAUUGUGAAUUUCUUCAAAUUACGUAUAUAUAGAUUGGACUUGGAAAUAUUCGGUUGCAGUUAAUUUGCAACUAGUGUUUUUACUAUAUAAUUUUUAUAACUAGCAACACUGUAACUGGAAUGUGACUACGGAUUAAAAACUUUUCUGUAUUCAUUCUGUAUUCGUUUUAAAAUGUUAGCGUACUCACACAUACUAAGCGCCCGAUGUUAAAAGUGCAAAGUAAUUGUUUUUAAUGUUACAAUAACAUAUAUAUGUAUAUAUCGGUUAAUUACUCCGUAGUCGGAUUAUUGUUACUUAUAAGUUAAUUAAAUGUUUUUUUUUUAAUCUAGUUGUAAGCAAGGAGGACCGCAUUACAAUGUUUGUUUUUGUAUAUUUAGUUUUUGGACGCAAAUAAUCUAUUUUCAUUUACUUUAAAUUUUUCGGAAUUUUUUUUAUUAUUCGAUUGCGGUUCGUGUUUAUUUAAAUUAUAAUAAGACUUAGGGUUAAGAUCACCACUUGGUGCAGAUAGGAGCCAUAAUAGGUACUCGCACUAGUGGUUUAUGAUAAUAUAUUAAUUCUUUAGUCUUUAUGAAAGUUGACAAAAAAUCCGUUAUCUUUCGAUAAUUAUUCAUCCAAAUUACAGACACACACACAGACACACACACACAAACAUAGUUUUACAUCAAAUUUGCCAAACAAUAAAAAAUAUACCAGAUGCAAAGAAACAAAAUUACCGUAAAUGCAACAAAGGCGUUAAUAUAUUAUUGUAGUGUUAGGUAAUCUAUAAUUACACUAGGUUUAAUAGUAACGAAGUAAGAAAUUAAGAUAGACAUUGAAAAAAUGUUUUGAACCGGCCUUUAGCCCCUGAGUAGUCUGUACAUAAAAUGUUGUUAUAAUUAUAUUUAGAAUUAAUACAAUGGUAAGACGUAUAUAAACAUGUAUUAGUGAAUAUUCAAAAGAGUGCUCAAAAUAGUCUCGAUCACAUUUAACUGUAGUAUAGCUUCUCUUCUAUUUUCUUCUAAACUUUACUUUCUUCGACUCGUAAUACUUCUUCUAUAUUUGCUUCUAAUCAAUAUUCUAGUAAUUCUUAUUCACUCUUUGUCGCUCUUUCAUCUUCAUUGUUUAGGAAUCGUGGUAUAGUUAUCAUCUUACCAAAAAUCGGCCUUAAUAAUAGAGUAAAAAAUUAUAUAAGCGUGUUGAACAAUUGAAAUUUUAAUAAUUAUUAUAAGGAAACCCCCAUUUGUUCCCUGUUACAGGGGAACACUGUAGGCUGUAUAUUGCUUAUUAGUGUAUUGGAUUGGCAAGAAACUAAUUUUGUACUUCUGUGUGAAAUAAUAUUCAACUGUUUGCCAACAAAAAAUAAGAGAUCAGACUAACACCUAAUCUAUUGUAUGAGUUUUGUCCUAAUUAGCAAAUAAUUCAAUGAAAUCCGAAUUGAGAUCCUUACAACUCAAACAAUAUUUUAGGAAACGACAUCAAUGAUAGUCUGAUUGUCAUCAGUAAAUUGAUCAGAAAUUUACGCACCUACCUUAAAAAAAUUACAUCAUGCAACAAAAAUUCAAUUAAAAAAAUUACAUCGUGUAAAUCGAAAUUACGAUCUUGCCAAACCACUGCGAUGUUUGUACAAUUAUCACAAGGUCGCAUCUUUAAUAUUAACACAGCGUCUCCAGUUUUUCAUUGAUAUGUCUUCAGUGAUGAUAGAGUCCACGAAUCAACAUACCAACAUAUCAACUUGUCAACGUUGAUGUAUGAAUGAAAAACUAAAAAGGUCUAUACCCAGUUUUUCGACGAAAAACUUGUGAUAAAGGUACAGAUAUAUUUAUUCUACUUAUUACAUUCUAGAUUUUGCUUUUUUCAUAGUAAUAGAGUAUUAUUAUUGUUUUGCAACCAUUCCGAUUUUAUUUGUAGUUUAGGAAAAUUUUACUUGCUUUCUUUUUUAUAUGAUAAUCUACUUUUAAGAGUUGUACAUACGAUAAAUUAAGGUCACUCAAUGUAGGUAACAUAAAAUAAGUCAGCUAGGUUAGAUUUUUUUUUUAAUCCGAGCAGUGAAGGUUGGCGGACUUUUUGUGUUUUUGUUUUUUUUUUUGUAAAUAUUUUAUAGAAAAAAGGUACUAAAUUUACUAACACUGUUUACAUAAUGUAAGUUGUUGUUUUGUAAAUAAGAUUUUAUGAUGUUGUUACGUUGCCAGAUGACCUGCAUAGACAAUAGAUUUACGAUAGCUAGUUAAUAUCAAGGAAUGCAAACUUAUUCUGGGUCACCAAACUGCCUUCAGGUUCAUAGAUUGUUGGCAUUAUUAGAGUUGGGCUUUGUUUAGGAAAUUGUAAACAGUAGUUAAUAUGAAUCUUAAUUGGAAUGCCGACAAGCUGAUACAAUUCAGAAUAGUACGAAAUUUUACCAUCGCUCUAUAAUCACGCAUGCGUCUAUAACCGCGUGUGCUUCCCUCUUUAGAAGUACGUAUGAUUAAAAUAAAAUUUUUCGUCAUGCACAAAUAUUUCAAGCAUCGCAUAACAGAUAUAGUUGCCUGAAGAAUUUCAUACAGCUGGCCACACAUAAUUACGGCUAAUAGUAAGUGAAACAAGUUAUACAAAAAUGAGUUUUGUGAUUCUUAACGUGACGUCACGGAAAGUGGGGGCAGAAUCAAUUGCACUGGCAACCUUGUUGGUUUUAGAAAAUUUUAAUACAGUUAUAAUAAUGUUAUGUUAGAAGUAAAGGAACGAGAUUCACAAUAUACGAAAUUCAUAGUGUAGUAAAACUUUUAAUGUAUAUUUUAAAUACACUCCGACAUUUUAUAUGAUUUGUCAAAUGUUUAAUUAAAAUCCUGCAAAAUUAAAAUCCAACAUAAAAGGCACAAUCAAAAUGUCAUGAAUUUAGGAUUAAGUUUUAAGUCGGAGUAAAAAAAACUAAAGGAAUUCAAAUUUUACUUUUAUGUUGCCAUAACAUCGAAAAAUUGCAUAAACAAAAAGCUUCUGCUUUGUUCUGUAUUUUAUUGUACCACGAUUGAUUUUAAAUAUCCUAAUUUUGAUUUCUGCUUUGGUUCAAAUGAUUUGCUACGCGGGUUAUGAGGUAGAAUGUUUAUUGUUGAAUUGAAGGUAAUCUUUGAUAGUUCAUAUAGGGAUGAAAUUAACUGUGGGUUGAGGUUGGUAAUGUUGAUAUAAAGAAUAAUUAAAGGUGGGAGAGAUGAUUCCAUCUCGACUGGGGAGGUACCACCCUCCUUUUUAAGUCAGUACCGAACUUAGUGCUAAAAGCACGUACUGAAAGAAGGAGAGCCAGUUUUCCUUAUUUUCUUGUUUAUUUAAUAGUUUCAUCUUCUCAUUAAUUCCUCCAUCUAUCUCUAUGAUUUAAUUAUAGUUUCACAAAUUUCAAGAUUUAUAUUUUUAUCUCGUCUAUUCUCUUAAUAUUGUUGUAAUAUUUGUUGUCUGUAAGUAUUAUUUUGAUCGAUGGUUUAAUGUCAUUUGUUAUUUUUUUUUUUAAUAUUAGUUCCAACCUUGCCUAAUCUGAUCUAUAAGUAGGUUUAAAUCGUAAUCAUAUUGAUGUUUCACGGUAUUUACUUUUUAUAGUCUUUUUAAUUUUUUGUGCUAGUCUGUAGCCCCCACUCUAGCUUUGCUGUGUGUCAAUCUAUACUUAAGCUUUCCCUCCUGUUGACAAAUAAAAAAAAAAUACUUUUCUAAAACGCAAAAUGUUGUCACUACAAUAUCCUCAGUCUCUAAUAUUACUUUUCGUCACAUUUUAAAAGUCAUUGUUGCAUUUUAUAGGAAUCGAUGAUUAUUUUUGAUUGUCUUCAUACAUUGAUGUAUUCGUGACUGUGUUUAGAUGUAAGUUUCUUCUUUCUAAAAUCUUCUAUGUGUCUAUUUAAUCAAAUGGGUACCUAGUUACUGUGUCGUUCCUCAGCUUCUGAAUCAUUAUCCUAUUCUAUUACAACGAGACAUUGGGAGCAAAACUAUAUCAGUUCUAUCCAACCACUAGACUGUUGAUGUAUCUGUCGACUCCUGUUGCUGUCUUCCUAUUUUUCCAGGACAAUAUAUUAUAUAACAAAAGUAUAUUGUUCUUCCUAAUGCCACAUCGAUUCGUUUGGGAACAGAAUAUUUCGAAUAAGAAAUCUAAGGCCACCCUAAAACUAGUGCUCUCCGGCUAUUAGACUGUUGACGUAUCUCUUUACUCCAGUUGCUGCCUUUAUAUUUUUUCCCGGACAAUGACUAAAACAAUUAUAUUGUUCUUCUUAAUGCCACAUCGAUUCGUUUGGGAACAGAAUAUUUCGAAUAAGAAAUCUAAGGCCACCCUAAAACUAGUGCUCUCCGGCUAUUAGACUGUUGACGUAUCUCUUUACUCCAGUUGCUGCCUUUAUAUUUUUUCCCGGACAAUGACUAACACAAUUAUAUUGUUCUUCUUAAUGCCACAUCGAUUCGUUUGGGAACAGAAUAUUUCGAAUAAGAAAUCUAAGGCCACCCUAAAACUAGUGCUCUCCGGCUAUUAGACUGUUGACGUAUCUCUUUACUCCAGUUGCUGCCUUUAUAUUUUUUCCCGGACAAUGACUAACACAAUUAUAUUGUUCUUCUUGAUGAUACAUAGAUCCGUUUGAGAACAGAAUGUUUCGCAUGAGAAUUCUAAGGCCAUCCUAAAAUCUGUUGUAUCCAGCCACUAGACUGUUGACGUAUCUCUCUACUCCAGUUGGUGUCUUUCUAUUUGCUCUAAACUAUGAAAAGACUGAGGUAAAGAAAGUAAUUUAAAACAUACCUCUCUUUACGGUAACAUUAAUAUUGAAUCGAAAUAAAACUAUAAUGGUGAAUUGUGGAUAACUAUGACAUUCAACCUCAAUUUUUCCACCGGAAUAGCCAAUGGGACAUCCAUAAAAAAAAAUAUUAACAUACACAACAUAAGUCAUACAUGCAGUGCAUGCAUAUGAGUUGUGGAAUACGAAUAUGAAAUAACCUGGAAAUCUCACUUAACUUCUCAAUGGUACCCAUAAUAUGUUUAGUUGUAAGGUUUCCCUUAUAGUUAAGAUUAUACAAUUACUUUGAAGUAUCAGGAUAAUUACAUUACUUUUAUUUUUGUGAAAUAGAGAGUACUUUUAAAUAUUCUGUAUUAGUUUAAAUUUUAAGUCUACUAUGUAAAUUUAUGAUUUCAUAUAACAUUUAAUUUCUCUUCAAAAUUGUGUAUGCAAGUAAUAAUUAUUUAUGUUAUGAAAAUAAGUUGCGAUUAAGCUCGGAAUUAUUAUUAUAUUAUACCAAUAAAUGUCGUGAUGUGA